GGGGAAUAUUGGACAAUGGGCGCAAGCCUGAUCCAGCCAUACCGCGUGGGUGAAGAAGGCCUUCGGGUUGUAAAGCCCUUUUGUUGGGAAAGAAAUCCAGCCGGCUAAUACCUGGUUGGGAUGACGGUACCCAAAGAAUAAGCACCGGCUAACUACGUGCCAGCAGCCGCGGUAAUACGUAGGUGGCAAGCGUUGUCCGGAAUUAUUGGGCGUAAAGCGCGCGCAGGUGGUUUCUUAAGUCUGAUGUGAAAGCCCACGGCUUAACCGUGGAGGGUCAUUGGAAACUGGGAGACUUGAGUGCAGAAGAGGAAAGUGGAAUUCCAAGUGUAGCGGUGAAAUGCGUAGAGAUUUGGAGGAACACCAGUGGCGAAGGCGACUUUCUGGUCUGCAACUGACGCUGAGGCGCGAAAGCAUGGGGAGCAAACA
rnacentral:rRNA from 1 species